rnacentral:rRNA from 1 species
UUAAGCUGUAAAGAGCACAAGGUGGAUGCCUUGGCACUAAGAGCCGAUGAAAGACGUGAUAAGCUGCGAAAAGCUGCGGUGAGGAGCAAAUAUCCUUUGACCCGCAGAUGUCUGAAUGGGGAAACCCGGCGGAGCAAACCUCCGUCACCGUAUUCUGAAUCCAUAGGGAUGCGGAGGGAACCCGGUGAACUGAAACAUCUAAGUAGCCGGAGGAAGAGAAAGAAAAUAUAUCGAUUCUGUGAGUAGCGGCGAGCGAAAACGGAGGAGCCCAAACCAGCGUGCGUGCAUGCUGGGGUUCGGACUGCAUACGUUACAGAUGCGGUUAGCAGAACGGUCCUGGAAAGACCGGCCAGAGAGGGUGAAAGCCCCGUAAGCGAAAACCAAGUCUGGACAGCAGGAUCCAGAGUACCACGAGACACGAGAAACCUUGUGGGAAUAAGCGGGGACCACCCCGUAAGGCUAAAUACUCCUUAGUGACCGAUAGCGCAUAGUACUGUGAAGGAAAGGUGAAAAGGACCCCGGGAGGGGAGUGAAAAAGAACCUGAAACCUUGUGUUUACAAGCUGUGGAAGUACUGUAGAGUACAACCGCGUACUUUUUGUAGAACGGUCCGGCGAGUUGUGGGUGCUGGCAAGGUUAAGUCCUUCAGGGACGGAGCCGAAGGGAAACCAAGUGUUAACAGCGCGUGAUAGAUGCUCUGCAUCUACGAAGUCAGUAUCUGCAGACCCGAAACCGGGUGAUCUAUCCAUGUCCAGGUUGAAGUUGCCGUAAAAGGCAAUGGAGGACCGAACGCACAUCCGUUGAAAAGGGUGGCGAUGAGGUGUGGAUAGGGGAGAAAUUCCAAUCGAACCCGGAGAUAGCUGGUUCUCCUCGAAAUAGCUUUAGGGCUAGCCUCGUAUAAAUUCCAUGGAGGUAGAGCACUGAAUUUCCUAGGGGGCGUCAAAGCCUACCGAAGAAUAUCAAACUCCGAAUGCCAUAGGAAUGCUGUACGGGAGUCAGACUGCACGAGAUAAGUUGGGCAGUCAAAAGGGAAAGAGCCCAGACCUACAGCUAAGGUCCCAAAGUACGUGUUAAGUGGAAAAGGAUGUGGGAUUUCAGAGACAACUAGGAUGUUGGCUUAGAAGCAGCCAUACAUUCAAAGAGUGCGUAAUAGCUCACUAGUCGAGAGGUCCUGCGCCGAAAAUGUCCGGGGCUGAAACACGACACCGAAGCUUAGGAAUGUGAGUAAUCACGUUGGUAGAGGAGCAUUCUUACCGGGAAGAAGCAGUAUUGUAAGGUAUUGUGGACUGGUAAGAAGAGAGAAUGCCGGAAUGAGUAGCGAGAUGGAGGUGAGAAUCCUCCAGGCCGAAUAUCUAAGGUUUCCAGGGUAAAGCUGAUCUGCCCUGGGUAAGUCGGGGCCUAAGGCGAGGUCGAAAGACGUAGCCGAUGGACAACAGGUUGAGAUUCCUGUACUAUCAUAUGACAGAACUGUGGGGACACAGAGGGAAAGCCUGAGCCGGGAAAGGGAAACCCGGUGCAAGCGAAGUAGGAGCUGGACUGGCAAAUCCGUCCAGCAAUCCGAAGGCGUGACGCGUACCGAAUUAAAGUAGGGAAGCAGGUGAGCCAGCUGUCGAGAAAAGCCGCUAUUGUUCAUAUGAUACCCGUACCGUAAACCGACACAGGUGGAUGAGGAGAGAAUCCUAAGGCCGGCGGGAGAAGCAUUGUUAAGGAACUCGGCAAAAUGACCCCGUAACUUCGGGAGAAGGGGUGCCUCUGAAAGGAGGCCGCAGAGAAUAGGCUCAAGCAACUGUUUAGCAAAAACACAGGUCUAUGCGAAACCGAAAGGUGAGGUAUAUGGGCUGACGCCUGCCCGGUGCUGGAAGGUUAAGAGGAGGAGUCAGGCAACGAAGCUCCGAAUUUAAGCCCCAGUAAACGGCGGCCGUAACUAUAACGGUCCUAAGGUAGCGAAAUUCCUUGUCGGGUAAGUUCCGACCCGCACGAAAGGCGUAAUGAUUUGAGCGCUGUCUCGACAAUGCACCCGGUGAAAUUGAAGUACCAGUGAAGAUGCUGGUUACCUGCGCCAGGACGGAAAGACCCCAUGGAGCUUUACUCCAGCUUGAUACUGGGAUUCGAUGCUGUAUGUAC